AGGUGGCUGGAAACUUCCAUUUUGCUCCUGGUAAAAGCUUCCAGCAGUCUCACGUCCACGUCCACGACUUACAGAGCUUUGGACUCGACAAUAUCAAUAUGACCCAUCAUAUCAAACAUUUGUCAUUUGGGAGAGAUUACCCAGGUUUAGUGAAUCCUCUUGAUGGAACAAGUGUGGAUGCCAUGCAAUGUAAGUACAUGCUACA